UGCAUCGGCCGGGAAUGGAACCCGGGGCGCCCGCGUGGCAGGCGAGCAUUCUACCACUAUGUUGAUUACUCUGAUAC